CGUCUUGAAGAUGAGGAGCUUGUCACGUUCAUCCUUACCGGUCUCGGCGAGGAGUUUGAACCAAUUGUGUCUGCUGUCUCCUCUCGGGUCGAGCCGAUUACUGUCAAUGAGCUUUACGCUCAACUCGCUGCGUUUGAGC
rfam:Sorghum bicolor cultivar BTx623 chromosome 10, whole genome shotgun sequence.